rnacentral:rRNA from 1 species
UGGGGAAUUUUGGACAAUGGGCGAAAGCCUGAUCCAGCAAUGCCGCGUGUGCGAAGAAGGCCUUCGGGUUGUAAAGCACUUUUGUCCGGAAAGAAAUCCUUGGCUCUAAUACAGUCGGGGGAUGACGGUACCGGAAGAAUAAGCACCGGCUAACUACGUGCCAGCAGCCGCGGUAAUACGUAGGGUGCAAGCGUUAAUCGGAAUUACUGGGCGUAAAGCGUGCGCAGGCGGUUUGCUAAGACCGAUGUGAAAUCCCCGGGCUCAACCUGGGAACUGCAUUGGUGACUGGCAGGCUAGAGUAUGGCAGAGGGGGGUAGAAUUCCACGUGUAGCAGUGAAAUGCGUAGAGAUGUGGAGGAAUACCGAUGGCGAAGGCAGCCCCCUGGGCCAAUACUGACGCUCAUGCACGAAAGCGUGGGGAGCAAACAGGAUUAGAUACCCUGGUAGUCCACGCCCUAAACGAUGUCAACUAGUUGUUGGGGAUUCAUUUCCUUAGUAACGUAGCUAACGCGUGAAGUUGACCGCCUGGGGAGUACGGUCGCAAGAUUAAAACUUAAAUGAAUUG